AUUGAAUUAUGAUUUGGAUUGUUGAAAAUUGUGUUUUUUUUCAUUUCAUAUGAUUUUGGAAUUUUUAGUUUAGCGUAGAUAUCGGAUGAGGACAUAUGUUGUGAACCUGUUAAAUCAUAUGUUAAUAUUGAUGAACUUAAUUUACUUUCUAUGAUUAUUUCAGUAGGGUGUGUGUAAUUUAUAUUGUUAAAUUGGUUUUUUUUUUUUAAAUGAAAACUGUAAAAUUAUUAAGUUAAUAAAAUUAUUUUUUUAAUUAAAAAAUUUAAAAACGGUUCGGUUUGGUUUUGUGCGAUUUUUAAAAAUCAAAACAUAAACCAAACCAUUUUGAAAUGGUUUGGUUCGGUUUGACGGAAAAAGAAACCACGGGUCCACGUGGAUCCAAAACAACGAUUUUAACUCAACGUUUUCGGUUCGGUUUGCGAUUGUACGGUUUUUUUGCGCGGCCCUAGCUAAAACUUGUACAAAGUUCUUUAGGAAUUGUAGAGAAGUAUUGGCCAAAGAAUGCAAUUAAUAAAGGUAAUUUGUUUUCCAUCCUUGAAGGGGAUUAGUUCAGACUUGAUUAUUAUUUUCAUAUUUAACGGACAUUAGGUUUUACUUUUAUCAUGACAAGCAAGUUGCUGUUCAUAAAUUCAGCUGCCUGUCGUCUGUUGAGCUUUAAGCGAACGAAAAUGCUUAUUUGAGCUUUUAAGACUUGGUACAAUAUUGAAGGGCCGUUCGGCAGGCUUUUGAAAAGUUUUUUUCUAAGACUAAGAAGUUGUUUAUGAAUUUGUUCAGGUCUUUUCUUGAAUUGUUUUGUCUAACUAUAAGAGUUUUUAGAAAAAAAAAAUUGAUAUAAGAUAAUUUUGUUAAAAAACUCUUCUACUGAAAGCAGAAACCCGACCAAUUAGACCCUUAGUCUUUAUGUUACGUCUUAAAAGUUUAACAUUUUAAGAGAAGUAAAACUUUAUUGUUAUUAUUUUCAUAUUUAAAGGACAUGAAAAUUUAACAAAUUCAACGUACCAAUAUGUUUUCAUAAUUCUAAUAUGAUUUUUUUUCUUAUGAAACUACAAGAAGAGUGAGUGUCAAAUUGAAGGGUAGUUGAAGAAGAAGACAAAAUUGCAAAUGUCAUUCUCAAU
rnacentral:lncRNA from 1 species